AACCAUAGAAACCUGCGGAGUACCUGCGGAGGGAUCAUUAUAGUAUAUGGAAUCUCCAUUCUAUAAACCUACUCUGCGUAUCUUGUAACUGUUGCUUCCAUGGGACUUGGUUCCGCCACACCGGCUUCACGGCUGGUGAGCGCCCAUGGAAGGAGAAACAAAACUCUUCUUUGAAAUGUAGUCAGUCUGAACAAGUUUUUAUAAACGUUAAAACUUUUAACAAUGGAUCUCAGAUCGGAA
rnacentral:misc_RNA from 1 species